rfam:Brachypodium distachyon strain Bd21 chromosome 3, whole genome shotgun sequence.
AUAUUACUCCCUCCGUCCAACAAAAAGUUUUUCAAGUUUAUCAAAAUUUGAAUGUAUCUAGACAUGACUUAGUGUAUAGAUGCAUUCAAAUUUAAUCAAAAUUGAGACACCAUUUGUUGUACGGAGGGAGUAGCAA